CCGAAGAGACAGCGCGUGAGAUGGUGUCCGAGAGACGGGAGACCAGAGUUGGAAGAACACGGAACAAGUACUGAGUAAAUACCACCGGGAGAAAUGAAAGAAGGAAGUGCACCAGUAUGGAAGAGGCUAUCAGCCACACAGCGGGGCUUGGAGAUGAGUGCUCUGUAAGUGGGCAGAGGACCACGUGACUUUGUACAAGGUGGUUGUAUCAACAGAUGGACCCUGGGCAGGUAUGAGUGCAGAUUCCUAUUAAUAAAUGGACUCCGAAAACGUGAUUUCUGAAGGCAGAGCUGACUGGGCAUCACUGUGCUCUGAUGGGAAAGGACAGCUAUCCGAAGGCUAGUCCAAGUGCGCCAACUGUCCCAGCAAAUCAGAAGGACUUGCUCAUGUGACCUGUCAGCCAAACCAGCCCAACUCCUCAAGGGGAGGCUUUAAAGAUUAUAGACACUCUGCUCACAACUCUGACCCCUAAUACUCAACCUGUGUCCAUGUUAAUAAAAGGGCUCUAAGAUCUUA